UGGGUGAUUAAAACACUGUCAGCAGAGGCCAAACAGGGAUCCAUAGACAAGACAAAUGUUUAUACAGCUGAUCCCUCAUCGCUGGGGAAAAACGCAGAACCUCCGCAUUGUGUUUGCUCAAUUUGAAGGGUAAUGGAAAUGCAGCUAAUGUCAACAUGGACAUUUGUGACGAGAGCCAAGAAGUGUCUUGGAAUCAGAAACCAUAAAUAGUAAAAAAAAAAAAAAAAAUUACAAAUAAAUAAAAACGCCAAAAUUGAUGCUCGGAAAUCUCACAUGCUACUGUACUCAGAAAGGCCCACACUGAGAUGAUCAGGAUGGCUUUUGUGGUGCUAAAUCGAGAGGAAAAGUGGAUCGGCUGGCAACCGAGAAAAGGCCUGGUCUGGUUUUGUUUGAUAGUUUGGACUGAUAUAUAUUUUCUCAGCGUGAGUAUACUCGGGCUUUCAUUGUCAGAGGCAGAGCAAUCAGAAAAAGACGACUGACCCACUGAGAACUGCAGGUAAGCGGGACGCAAUAACCCUCAAAAUAAAGCUUGACGCCCGCACGUCUCCUUUGAAUAUAGAACGGUAACUGGACUCUAGUUCAACUCUGUGGAAAUGAAAAUGAAACUACAGGGAUAAAGACCUGCUCCCUUAGAAUGGCCAACAAAUUGCGGUACGUCACAUGUCCACCAAUCGGUCAGGUAAGGUGUGGAAAACGGAGAUGUCUUUUUCCUUCAAAGAACCCACUGCCGCAAUUACCACUGCAGUUUAGAGAAUUAAUGGCGACUUCAUAAGAGGCAAGGGAUUUUAAAAGGAGAAAAUUAUAUACUCAGAGCGCAUAAGCUAUAAAUGCAUUAAAAUUACUUUCCCAUAAAUUACUUGUGUCAUCAUUACAAAUGGUUUCAU